rnacentral:lncRNA from 1 species
UUUGUCUCCUGAGUGCUGGGAUUAAAGGCAUAGCACCACUGCUGGGCUAAAUUGAGCUCCUCAGUAUUGUUUAAUUGUUCAUUGUCUCAGAGAACUCAGGAACAUUAGCUGGCUAAUGAUUAAGGAUGUGUUCGUCGGAUACUGAUGAACAGUAGGCAAAGGCAAGGCACAGAGUGGCACUGGGUAUGUGGAGUGGGCCUGUCCUCUCCUGGUAGUUGCACCACCAUCUCCAAAGAGACGCCACACAUACAUACUCAGCUCUUCAGACAUUCUUGUCUAUCUUGUCUGCUUCAUUCCUUAAGUGUGAUUGAAAAUGGCUAACUCAUGAUCGACUUAACCUUCAAUCACCUCCCCUCCCUAGGGGUGGAUAGUGUAAUUCUGCCUUGGUCCUUCCCAUAACCAGCCCCAAUCCUGAAUCUACCUAGUAGUUGCCAGCCUACAGUUGGCUUCUUAGACUUAGCACUUGGAAGACUCUAAGGACUUUAUGACUAGCAUGUCAGGAAGUAGGAUAAAGUGGCUGCCACAAUAGUAUAUGAGUUGUUGAGGAAGCGGUAUUGAACAGCAGAAGGCUUAUUACAGUUGAAGCUGUGUUACUAAGACCCAUAAUGAGUCAUAGAGGCAGCCUUUCUUCCCAGGAAAUCACCUCCAUAGUCAGAAAUUUGACCUUCUGCAUUCCUAAACUUUCUCAGUUCUUGUCCCAUUCAGUUUCUCUUUUCCUGUGUCACGGUUAUAUGGUUCUGCCUGCCUACUUAGGGGUGAAUUUGGCCUGUCUUCAUGCUGGAAUAAAGAAGCAUUUACGAAUUGUGUCUAGCCUGAAGACAGUUUGGUUCCUGCCUCUAGGUAUAGGAACACACACCAGAAGAGGCACAAAAGUCAGAUGUCUAGUUUGGCUGACAGCUGGAAGAAGGGCUGAAGGGCUGGGAGUAUAACAAUAUGAAGCAUGUGCUUAGUAUAUGGGCUGCAGCACCCAAAAUAACCAUUCUUGCUUUGGAAUCUUCAGAAAAAUAGCAGUCUUCCUGCUUUGGAAAGUGAAUAGAACAAAACAUAGUGUGCUCUAGAGGGUUCCAGGUUUCAUAGCAUCUAAAGGGGGGUGAGACUCUGGGAAGAAACAGCUAUUCUGAGACUCGUAGGGAUGUUAACAUGAACACUUCUUGACAGGCUCCUAUAAGCACUUCAGUUUCUUCUACAGGAGGGACGAGAAUAAUUUUGAAAGAGAUACAGUUCCUCCUGAACCGCCUGCCAAGAGAGUGUGUACUAUCAGCCCUGCUCCUCGGCACAGUCCCGCCCUCACUGUUCCCCUUAUGAAUCCUGGGGGCCAGUUCCAUCCUACUCCACCACCUCUUCAGCACUAUACACUAGAAGACAUUGCAACUUCUCACCUGUAUCGGGAACCAAACAAGAUGCUAGAACACCGAGAAGUUCGUGAGAGGCACCACAAUCUUAGUAAGUGAUCUCAGCCCCAUGGUAAUGCCUUCAUCUGGAGGGAGUUCACAGACUGCUUUCCUGCUCAGUGAUAAAGCCAAAUAAUAGCGGCAUUGCCUUUUUUCUGUUGAUACGAUGAUGUUAUGUAGCUGGACAUAGUGGCACAUACUUCUGAUUCCAAUACUGUAAAGGCUGAGGCACAAUGAUCGGCCUACAGUCAUCUUCAUCUGCCUAAGGAGUUUGUGGGUUGCCUAUGCUAUAAAUAACGAUUAAUGAAAGGGCUGGGCAUGGUAGCACACUUAUUAGCAGCCAGGAGGGUUACCCCAAGUUGGAGGCAAGUUUGCUCUACAGGAAUCCCAGGUCUGACGCAGCUUAUUUGGCUCUACCUGUGUAAUCUAAUGGAAAUUUCUUAGGCUCUUGAGCCUGAGAGUAAUAAGUUCUGAAAAGAAUUCUGAAAUGGGGGCUGGCAAGAUGACUCAGUGGGUAAAGGGCACUGACUGCUCUUCCAAAGGUCCGGAGUUCAAAUCCCAGCAACCACAUGGUGGCUCACAACCACCCCUAAUGAGAUCUAAUGCCCUCUUCUGGUGCAUCUGAAGUCAGCUACAGUGUACUUAUGUAUAAUAAUAAUAAAUAAAUCUUUUUUUAAAAAAAAGAAUUCUGAAAUGAAUGAAGAUAUCGUUACCAUCUCUGCUCUUUUGCUAGGUUUGAAAUGCCUGAAGCAUGGGACUGUGUAACUAUUAAAUUUAGAAAUAAACACUUCAUUUUAAAACAGAAAAACACCUACAGAUUCCUAAUUUGAGAUCAAUUUUGGAAAGAGCUUUUUGUCCCAUUCUCUUCUGGAGUCUGUUUAGCAUCUAUCUGGCAAAAGAAAAAAAACACAAGUGGCUACCAUUUUGUAGGGUUUCCUUUACCUUCCAUUUUUUAGUGACACCUUGUGGAGAACACAGUGAUUCUUUCCCAUUCUGACUUAGGCUAACUAAGGCACCAACCUCAGUAGGGCCUCGGGCAGCAUGCAGCUCUUAGUGCGUGCAAAGGCCAUGAGAGAUUUGUCUCCAUGCAUUUACUGAGUCUCAGCUAUACCUCAUUAUUUGAUUCAGUCUUUCCAGAAAGUCUGACAGUCACUAAUUUCUUCAUACAGAGAAGAUCAAAGCAACCGUGGCCAGUGUCACACAGCUAGUAAGUUGUCUUGACAAGAUGCAGCUCCUAAGCUGCUGGCUGGAAGUUGAAUUUGGCUGUAUUGGGAACAGAUGAUGAUCCAUACCUUCCUUGGUAUCCAGUUCUUAUUCUCCCAUGCCUCUUUCUUCAGCUGUUAAAAAACCAGACUUGGGGAUGGGGGUGCACAGCAAGAUGGCUCAGUGAAUAAAGACACUUGCCAUUUAAGCCUGGGACCUGAGUUUGAUUCCUAAAGAGAAUGCACUCCAGAUAGUUGUUCUCUAACCUCCAUGUGUCAUCAUGAUGCACAUAAAGAUACAACAACAGUAAUAUUAAAUGAUUUUAAGAAUUAUGCUGGUCACCUAUAGCAUGACUAAAUAAAAUGAACAUAAUCCCCUAUUUGGGAAUCUUAUAAAAUAGAAGGUUUCCAUAUGACUUUCCAAACAUAUUUAGUAUUAGUCUGCCAAGCCCUUCCCCUAUUCUACCCUCCCGAAUUCCCUUUCUAUCAUUUCCCCUUUACUUCAUAUCAGCUAUGUUCGACUAUCCACCAUCCUGGCUAGUUUUCUGCCAACCUCACACAAGGUAGAGUCAUUUUGGAAGGGGAACUCUCAACUGAGACAAUGCCUCCACCAGACAGACUGGCCUGUGGGCACUUGCUUGAUUUUUGACUUGGGAGAACUGUUUAUCAUGGGCAGCACCACCCCUGGACUUCCAUGGCCUCUGCAUCAGAUCC